rnacentral:rRNA from 1 species
ACUCCUACGGGAGGCAGCAGUGGGAAUUUUGCGCAAUGGGGGAAACCCUGACGCAGCAACGCCGCGUGAGUGAUGAAGGCCCUUGGGUCGUAAAGCUCUGACAGAGGGAAAGAAGUGUAGAGUGGCUAAUAUCCACAUUACUUGACGGUACCCUCAAAGGAAGCACCGGCUAACUCCGUGCCAGCAGCCGCGGUAAUACGGGGGGUGCAAGCGUUGUUCGGAUUUAUUGGGCGUAAAGCGCGUGUAGGCGGUUUUAUAAGUCUGAUGUGAAAGCCCUGGGCUCAACCCGGGAAGUGCAUUGGAUACUGUAAGACUUGAAUACGGGAGAGGGCGGUGGAAUUCCUAGUGUAGGAGUGAAAUCCGUAGAUAUUAGGAGGAACACCGGUGGCGAAGGCGGCUGCCUGGACCGAUAUUGACGCUGAGACGCGAAAGCGUGGGUAGCAAACAGGAUUAGAUACCCUGGUAGUCCACGCCGUAAACGAUGAGAACUAGGUGUCGCGGG